rnacentral:rRNA from 1 species
UACGGGGGGGGCAAGCGUUGUUCGGAAUUACUGGGCGUAAAGGGCUCGUAGGUGGCCAACUAAGUCAUACGUGAAAUCCCUCGGCUUAACCGGGGAACUGCGUCUGAUACUGGAUGGCUUGAGAUCGGGAGAGGGAUGCGGAAUUCCAGGUGUAGCGGUGAAAUGCGUAGAUAUCUGGAGGAACACCGGUGGCGAAGGCGGCAUCCUGGACCAACACUGACACUGAGGAGCGAAAGCCAGGGGAGCAAACGGG